rnacentral:rRNA from 1 species
UAGCAUAUCAAUAAGCGGAGGAAAAGAAACUAACAAGGAUUCCCAUAGUAACUGCGAGUGAAGCGGGAAAAGCUCAAAUUUAAAAUCUGGCAGUCUUUGGCUGUCCGAGUUGUAAUCUAGAGAAGUGAUGCCCGCGCUGGACCGUGUACAAGUCUCCUGGAAUGGAGCGUCAUAGAGGGUGAGAAUCCCGUCUCUGACACGGACUACCAGGGCUUUGUGGUAUGCUCUCAAAGAGUCGAGUUGUUUGGGAAUGCAGCUCUAAAUGGGUGGUAAAUUCCAUCUAAAGCUAAAUAUUGGCGAGAGACCGAUAGCGAACAAGUACCGUGAGGGAAAGAUGAAAAGAACUUUGGAAAGAGAGUUAAACAGUACGUGAAAUUGCUGAAAGGGAAACGCUUGAAGUCAGUCGCGUUAGCUAGAACUCAGCCUCGCUCUUGCGUGGUGUACUUUCUGGUUGACGGGUCAGCAUCAAUUUUGACUGCUGGAAAAAGGUCUUGGGAAUGUGGCAGCUUCGGCUGUGUUAUAGCCCUUGGUCACAUACAGCGGUUGGGAUUGAGGAACUCAGCACGCCGCAAGGCCGGGUUUCGACCACGUUCGUGCUUAGGAUGCUGGCAUAAUGGCUUUAAGCGACCCGUCUUGAAACACGGACCAAGGAGUCUAACAUGCCUGCGAGUGUUUGGGUGGUAAACCCGAGCGCGUAAUGAAAGUGAAAGUUGAGAUCCCUGUCGUGGGGAGCAUCGACGCCCGGACUUGAACUUUUGUGACGGAUCCGCGGUAGAGCAUGUAUGUUGGGACCCGAAAGAUGGUGAACUAUGCCUGAAUAGGGUGAAGCCAGAGGAAACUCUGGUGGAGGCUCGUAGCGAUUCUGACGUGCAAAUCGAUCGUCAAAUUUGGGUAUAGGGGCGAAAGACUAAUCGAACCAUCUAGUAGCUGGUUCCUGCCGA